GAUGAACGCUGGCGGCGUGCCUAAUACAUGCAAGUCGAGCGAACAGACGAGGAGCUUGCUCCUCUGACGUUAGCGGCGGACGGGUGAGUAACACGUGGAUAACCUACCUAUAAGACUGGGAUAACUUCGGGAAACCGGAGCUAAUACCGGAUAAUAUAUUGAACCGCAUGGUUCAAUAGUGAAAGGCGGAUUUGCUGUCACUGAUAGAUGGAUCCGCGCCGCAUUAGCUAGUUGGUAAGGUAACGGCUUACCAAGGCAACGAUGCGUAGCCGACCUGAGAGGGUGGUCGGCCACACUGGAACGGAGACACGGUCCAGACUCCUACGGGCGGCAGCAGUAGGGAAUCUUCCGCAAUGGGCGAAAGCCUGACGGAGCAACGCCGCGUGAGUGAUGAAGGUCUUCGUAUCGUAAAACUCUGUUAUUAGGGAAGAACAAAUGUAAGUAACUAUGCACGUCUUGACGGUACCUAAUCAGAAAGCCACGGCUAACUACGUG
rnacentral:rRNA from 1 species